AAGACUAUACUUUUAGAGAACAUUUCUUCAGUGUGUAACUAGAGAAGUUUCUCUGAUCAUGUAGGGCACCCGAAGCCAUGAGGAACCAGAGCGUCCUCUUCUGAGCAUGAAGCUGGGUCGAGGUGUUUAUCCUGUGGCUGCCUGUGCCCAUCAAUGAUCUUUCUUCCUUUCAUCUGGAAAAGGUAAAGGGAGAGGAUGCAGUCUGAGUGGU